rnacentral:rRNA from 1 species
GAGGGUGAUCGGCCACAUUGGAACUGAGACACGGUCCAAACUCCUACGGGAGGCAGCAGUGGGGAAUAUUGCACAAUGGGCGAAAGCCUGAUGCAGCAACGCCGCGUGAGUGAUGAAGGCCUUCGGGUCGUAAAACUCUGUCCUCAAGGAAGAUAAUGACGGUACUUGAGGAGGAAGCCCCGGCUAACUACGUGCCAGCAGCCGCGGUAAUACGUAGGGGGCUAGCGUUAUCCGGAUUUACUGGGCGUAAAGGGUGCGUAGGCGGUCUUUCAAGUCAGGAGUGAAAGGCUACGGCUCAACCGUAGUAAGCUCUUGAAACUGGGAGACUUGAGUGCAGGAGAGGAGAGUGGAAUUCCUAGUGUAGCGGUGAAAUGCGUAGAUAUUAGGAGGAACACCAGUUGCGAAGGCGGCUCUCUGGACUGUAACUGACGCUGAGGCACGAAAGCGUGGGGAGCAAACAGGAUUAGAUACCCUGGUAGUCCACGCUGUAAACGAUGAGUACUAGGUGUCGGGGGUUACCCCCCUCGGUGCCGCAGCUAAC